rnacentral:rRNA from 1 species
UACGGAGGGGGCGAGCGUUAUUCGGAAUUAUUGGGCGUAAAGGGCGCGUAGGCGGCUUGUCAAGUCAAAGGUGAAAUCCCUCGGCUCAACUGAGGAACUGCCUUUGAAACUAGCGAGCUUGAGGCCGGGAGGGGGUAGCGGAAUUCCCAGUGUAGCGGUGAAAUGCGUAGAUAUCGGGAGGAACACCGGUGGCGAAGGCGGCGAUCUGGGUAGAUACUGACGCUGAGGUGCGAAAGCGUGGGGAGCAAACAGG